rnacentral:lncRNA from 1 species
GAUUGUGAAGUGCCAAACAGAUCAGGAAAUCAAACAGUUGGCUGGGAUAAAGAAUAGCAUGUGACAAAGAAAUAUGGGAGAGGAAGAACUUUAGUAUGAACUGGAUAUGUGGCAGAGGCUGGUGAUCUAUCACAGUGCUGUAUACAGGAUCUGAGGAUUGUUUUUGAAGGAGGUGAAGAAGAAGUGGACAACUUUAAUGAAUUUUUAUGCUUCUUUGUCUGGACUGGCCUGUCAGUUCUCAGAGAAUGUCUCCUGAAAUUAAAGGUAUGAUAAAGGAAUGAGUACAAAAAGAGAAGGUAAGUGGUACAGAUGUGAUCUUUGAAAAAGAAGGCAAAAAUAUACAAUGAAAAAAAUGAAAGUGCCUUGAAUAAAUGGUGAUGCUCUAACUGGCAUCUGUAUGUAGAAAAAUGAAGAUAGACUCAUAUUUGUCAUGUUGUACAAAGCUGAAGUCCAAGUGGAUUAAGCACCUCAACAUAAAUCAGAUAAACUGAGUCUACUAGAAG